rnacentral:rRNA from 1 species
GGAGGAGUUUGAUCCUGGCUCAGGAUGAACGCUGGCGGCGUGCCUAAUACAUGCAAGUCGAGCGAACAGACAAGGAGCUUGCUCCUUUGACGUUAGCGGCGGACGGGUGAGUAACACGUGGGUAACCUACCUAUAAGACUGGGAUAACUUCGGGAAACCGGAGCUAAUACCGGAUAAUAUUUCGAACCGCAUGGUUCGAUAGUGAAAGAUGGUUUUGCUAUCACUUAUAGAUGGACCCGCGCCGUAUUAGCUAGUUGGUAAGGUAACGGCUUACCAAGGCGACGAUACGUAGCCGACCUGAGAGGGUGAUCGGCCACACUGGAACUGAGACACGGUCCAGACUCCUACGGGAGGCAGCAGUAGGGAAUCUUCCGCAAUGGGCGAAAGCCUGACGGAGCAACGCCGCGUGAGUGAUGAAGGUCUUCGGAUCGUAAAACUCUGUUAUUAGGGAAGAACAUACAUGUAAGUAACUAUGC